GACGAACGCUGGCGGCGUGCCUAAUACAUGCAAGUAGAACGCAGUUGCGAACGGGUGAGUAACGCGUAGGUAACUGCCUCAUAGCGGGGGAUAACUAUUGGAAACGAUAGCUAAUACCGCAUACUGUGAGAUGGACCUGCGUUGGAUUAGCUAGUUGGUGAGGUAAAGGCUCACCAAGGCGACGAUACAUAGCCGGCCUGGGAGGGUGAUCGGCCAAACUGGGACCGGUGAACGGCCCAGACGCCUAAGGGAGGCAGCAGUAGGGAAACUUCGGAAAUUGACGGAAGGCUGACCGAGCAACGCCGCGUGAGUGAAGAAAGUUUUCGGAUCGUAAAGCUCUGGUGUUUGAGGAGCGGUAACUAACCAGAAAGGCACGGCUAACUACGUGCCAGCAGCCGCGGUAAUUC
rnacentral:rRNA from 1 species